GGUGAACCUGCGGAAGGAUCAUUACCGAUGUGAAAAAUCCAAGGUUAAACAUCAUUAACCAGUGUGAACUGUACAACAACUCUUUAGGGGUCGGCACAGGCGUGUGUCGUUAAAUGGCGGAUAGGUUCCUUCCGCCAGCCCCGCCAUUGUGUUUAUUAUAUCACUUUGAACGUGAAAGACUGAGAACUAUGUAUCAUGCAUAAUACAUUGUAUGAGACAGAAGGAAAGAAAAAUGAGAGACAACUUUUGACGGUGGAUCUCUUGGCUCACGUAUCGAUGAAGAACGCAGCCAGCUGCGAUAUGCAGUGUGAAUUGCAGAAUUCGGUGAAUCAUUGAAUCUUUGAACGCAAAUGGCGCUCUUGGGUUCUCCCAGGAGCAUGUCUGUCUGAGUGUCGGAUUUUAUCGAACGCACUCGUGAGUGCGGUAUUGAGGUGUCACGGCGUGUUAGCAAGCAAGCAUUAAAUCGCCGUGUCCCUUGAAGGACAGCAGCAUUGGACUCGCAUUCUCUAUUGAAACUUGAGUGCGAAGGCUAAAGAUAAUAUUUUCCUUCGCCCAAACAUGCAAUAGCAGAAACAAAAUCCAAUCAAAGCGGUGACAGACAAUAAACAUCAAAUCUUGACCUCAGAUCAGGCAAGGCUACCCGCUGA
rnacentral:sRNA from 1 species